UACGUAGGGUGCGAGCGUUGUCCGGAAUUAUUGGGCGUAAAGGGCGCGUAGGCGGUCGUGACAAGUCACUUGUGAAAUCUCCGGGCUUAACUCGGAAAGGUCAAGUGAUACUGUCGGACUAGAGUACAGAAGGGGCAACUGGAAUUCUCGGUGUAGCGGUGAAAUGCGUAGAUAUCGUAAGGAAGACCAGUGGCGAAGGCGGGUCUCUGGACAGUUCCUGACGCUGAGGCACGAAGGUCAGGGGAGCAAACGGG
rnacentral:rRNA from 1 species